GAGCAGCAGUGGGGAAUUUUCCGCAAUGGGCGAAACCCUGACGGAGCAAUACCGCGUGAGGGAGGACGGCAUAUGGGUUGUAAACCUCUUUUUUCACGGGAGGAAUCAAUGACGUGUACCUGAAGAAUAAGCAUCGGCUAACUCCGUGCCAGCAGCCGCGGUAAGACGGAGGAUGCAAGUCGUUAUCCGGAAUCACUGGGCGUAAAGCGUCGGUAGGUGGUCCAAUAAGUCAACUGUUAAAUGAUUGAGGCUCAACCUCAAAAUCGCAGUCGAAACUGUUAGACUAGAGUAUAGUAGGGGUAAAGGGAAUUUCCAGUGGAGCGGUGAAAUGCGUAGAUAUUUGAUAGGAACACCCAUGGCGAAGGCACUCUACUGGGCUAUUACUAACACUCAGAGACGAAAGCUAGGGUAGCAAACGCGCUUAGAUACCCCCGUAGUCCUAGCCCUCAACAAUGGAUACUAGAUGUUGAACAGAUCGACCUGUUCAGUUCUAAGCUAACGCGUAAUAUCCCGCUGAGUCGCAGGCGGG
rnacentral:rRNA from 1 species